rnacentral:rRNA from 1 species
AUUGAACGCUGGCGGCAGGCUUAACACAUGCAAGUCGAACGGUAGCAGGAGAAAGCUUGCUUUCUUGCUGACGAGUGGCGGACGGGUGAGUAAUGCUUGGGAAUCUGGCUUAUGGAGGGGGAUAACUACGGGAAACUGUAGCUAAUACCGCGUAAUAUCUUCGGAUUAAAGAUUGUGACUUUUAGCCAUUCGCCAUAAGAUGAGCCCAAGUGGGAUUAGUUAGUUGGUGGGGUAAAGGCCUACCAAGCCGACGAUCUCUAGCUGGUCUGAGAGGAUGACCAGCCACACUGGAACUGAGACACGGUCCAGACUCCUACGGGAGGCAGCAGUGGGGAAUAUUGCGCAAUGGGGGCAACCCUGACGCAGCCAUGCCGCGUGAAUGAAGAAGGCCUUCGGGUUGUAAAGUUCUUUCGGUGGUGAGGAAGGCUAAUAUGUUAAUAGCAUAUUAGAUUGACGUUAGCAACAGAAGAAGCACCGGCUAACUCCGUG